GACGAACGCUGGCGGCGUGCCUAACACAUGCAAGUCAACUUGACUGAAGGAGCAAUCUGACAGUAGAGUGGCGCAAGGGUGCGUAACGCGUAAGUAACUUGCCCAAGGUAAGGAAUAACGUCGAGAAAUCGGCGCUAAUACCUCAUAAUGCAGCGGAUCCGCAUGGAUAUGUUGUUAAAGGUUUACCGCCUUGGGAUAGGCUUGCGUCUGAUUAGCUAGUUGGUGUGGUAACGGCACACCAAGGCUACGAUCAGUAACUGGUCUGAGAGGAUGAUCAGUCACACUGGAACUGAGACACGGUCCAGACUCCUACGGGAGGCAGCAGUGAGGAAUAUUGGGCAAUGCUCGAAAGAGUGACCCAGCAACGCCGCGUGGAGGAUGAAGGUAUUCUAUAUCGUAAACUCCUGUGAGAGCAGACGAAAGACAGAUUAUUAAUCUGGAUGACUGUAUGCUCAGAGGAAGCCCCGGCUAACUA
rnacentral:rRNA from 1 species